GUCGAACGAUGAACCAGGAGCUUGCUCUUGGGGAUUAGUGGCGAACGGGUGAGUAACACGUGAGUAACCUGCCCUUGACUCUGGGAUAACCUCCGGAAACGGAAGCUAAUACCGGAUACGAACUGCGAAGGCAUCUUCAGCAGUUGGAAAGAACUUCGGUCAAGGAUGGACUCGCGGCCUAUCAGGUAGUUGGUGAGGUAACGGCUCACCAAGCCUACGACGGGUAGCCGGCCUGAGAGGGUGACCGGCCACACUGGGACUGAGACACGGCCCAGACUCCUACGGGAGGCAGCAGUGGGGAAUAUUGCACAAUGGGCGCAAGCCUGAUGCAGCAACGCCGCGUGAGGGAUGACGGCCUUCGGGUUGUAAACCUCUUUUAGUAGGGAAGAAGCGAAAGUGACGGUACCUGCAGAAAAAGCACCGGCUAACUACGUGCCAGCAGCCGCGGUAAUACGUAGGGUGCGAGCGUUGUCCGGAAUUAUAGGGCGUAAAGAGCUCGUAGGCGGUCUGUCGCGUCUGCUGUGAAAACCCGAGGCUCAACCUCGGGCCUGCAGUGGGUACGGGCAGACUAGAGUGCGGUAGGGGAGAAUGGAAUUCCUGGGUGUAGCGGUGGAAUGCGCAGAUAUCAGGAGGAACACCGAUGGCGAAGGCAGUUCUCUGGGCCGUAACUGACGCUGAGGAGCGAAAGCGUGGGGAGCGAACAGGAUUAGAUACCCUGGUAGUCCACGCCGUAAACGUUGGGCGCUAGAUGUG
rnacentral:rRNA from 1 species